CCUACGGGUGGCAGCAGUGGGGAAUAUUGGACAAUGGGGGCAACCCUGAUCCUGCCAUGCCGCGUGUGUGAAGAAGGCCCUCGGGUUGUAAAGCACUUUCAGUGAGGAAGAACGCCUGGUGGUUAAUACCCAUCAGGAAAGACAUCACUCACAGAAGAAGCACCGGCUAACUCCGUGCCAGCAGCCGCGGUAAUACGGAGGGUGCGAGCGUUAAUCGGAAUUACUGGGCGUAAAGCGCGCGUAGGUGGCUUGAUAAGCCGGUUGUGAAAGCCCCGGGCUCAACCUGGGAACGGCAUCCGGAACUGUCAAGCUAGAGUGCAGGAGAGGAAGGUAGAAUUCCCGGUGUAGCGGUGAAAUGCGUAGAGAUCGGGAGGAAUACCAGUGGCGAAGGCGGCCUUCUGGACUGACACUGACACUGAGGUGCGAAAGCGUGGGUAGCAAACAGGAUUAGAUACCCCAGUAGUC
rnacentral:rRNA from 1 species